GACGAACGCUGGCGGCGUGCUUAACACAUGCAAGUCGAGCGGAGCGGCGAACGGGCGAGUAACGCGUGAGUAACUGCCCCCCUCUCUGGGAUAACAGUUGGAAACGGCUGCUAAUACCGGAUAGUGGGGGAUGGCUCGCGGCCUAUCAGCUUGUCGGUGGGGUGAUGGCCUACCAAGGCGGUGACGGGUAGCCGGCCUGAGAGGGUGACCGGCCACAGUGGGCGGAGCUGCGGCCCAGGGGACGACGGGAGGGAGAAGUGGGGGAUAUUGGACAAUGGGCGAAAGACUGAUGCCGCGACGCCGCGGGGGGGAUGAAGGCUGUCGGGUUGUAAACCUCUACGAAGUCACAAUGGGUAGGUGGAGAAGAAGCGCCGGCUAACUACGUGCCAGCAGCCGCGGUAAUAC
rnacentral:rRNA from 1 species